CUUGUUUUGGUUGCCUCCUGAUAAGGUUUACCUGCCUUUCUUCCUAGCCAAAGCUACUGCUACUUCAUUCCAUGACAAAAUGAAAACAUCAAGUUAUGUGAGGACUCUCCGCCAUUUCCACUGGCCUUUUCCCUCAGAACUGAAUCUCCUGGGACCUCACCUGAGCUAGUGACGACUUCAUUUGCGUAUGGAUGAUUCUCUCAGAGGUAGCAGGAGACAUUUUAGAGUUCAAUGUAUCUCCAAGAUCUUG